rnacentral:rRNA from 1 species
AAUAUUGCACAAUGGGGGAAACCCUGAUGCAGCGACGCCGCGUGAUCGAAGAAGGCCUUCGGGUCGUAAAGCUCUUUCCUAAGGGAAGAAGAGGACGGGACCUCAGGGGGAAGCCCCGGCUAACUACGUUCCAGCAGCCGCGGUAAUACGCAGGGGGCGAACGUUAUCCGGAAUUACUGGGCUUAAAGGGUGCGUAGGCUGCCUUUUAAGUCAGAUGUGAAAGGCUACGGCUUAACCGUAGUUAGCAUUUGAAACUAAGAGGCUUGAAUGCAGGAGAGGAGAGUGGAAUUACUAGUGUAGCGGUGAAAUGCGUAGAUAUUAGGAGGAACACCAGUGGAGAAGGCGACUCUCUGGACUGCAACUGACGCUGAGGCACGAAAGCGUGGGUAGCGAACA